rnacentral:misc_RNA from 1 species
UCAAGGGACGCGCAGUGAACACCACAACUCCUCCUCCGUAAUCGACAGUCAAGAUGGUCCACUCGUACGGCUACAAGUCUGGCACCCGCCACCUCUUCGCCAAGAAGUUCCGCAAGCACGGUGCUCCGUCCGUGUCGACAAUCCUGACGAACAUCAAGGUCGGCGACUACGUCGAUGUCGUCGCGGACUCCGCGGUGCGUGAGGGCAUGCCGCACAAGUACUACCAUGGCCGCACCGGUAUUGUGUGGAACGUGACCCCCCGCGGCGUUGGCGUCAUCAUCAACAAGCCGGUCCGCACGCGCACCCUGCGCAAGCGCAUCUGCGUCCGCUUCGAGCACGUCCGCAAGUCUCGCUGCCAGGAGGCAUUCAAGGCGAAGGAGCACCAGUUCCAGGCCUACCUCGCCGCCAAGAAGGCCGGCAAGGCGCUGCCCCCGCUGAAGAAGAGCUCCCGAAUGGGCGGCAUUGUGCGCCCCAAGAACGUUGAGGUGCUCGCCCGCCGCGUGGCCGACUACGAGGCGAUGGUGCCGUACUAAGCGCUUCAACGGAAGCGAGAUCGUAUCACUGCGUGUGCAUGUAAGCUUGUGUGCUGAAUGGCGUGUGGUGGCCCCCUGAACAGUCGCCUCUCUCGCUCGCCCUUCCUUAUUCUGGUCUUGCGCUCCUGCCAUGUGGCGGCAAGCAGCGAGGCGGUGGUGGAAGAAGGACGGUGCGUGUGUGUGUAGGGGGGGGAAGGGGCAGCGGCGCUCUGGGUUUGCCCCCCCCCCCCUACACACAUACCCCAACAUGGCGUUUACGAGCACACCUUCAGCCAGACUUACUGUCGCUGCGCCCCUUGAGCACGACUGAUUUCUUCUUUUUUCUUUUUGAAAUGCGUUCGUCUCCUGAUGCGCGAGCAGUGCGUGAGCACGCUGGCGCGUGUUGCGAUGCGUAUCCCCCGCCUUGAGAGGGGGGGGGCGAAGGAACUGACUCCUCCCUUCCAACGACAGAACGAAC